rnacentral:lncRNA from 1 species
UUGCUCUAGCACAUAUACCUAGAGUAAAAUCCAUACCCGAUUGAGCUUUAAUACAUAUACUUAGAGCUCAUGCAAAUCAAAUCCCACGAACCCUAACAUAAUACUUUGGUUAGAUCCUCACUCUAGCAUAUAUAACUAGAGUGAAAAAUAUAUUAAACUCGGUUAAUCCUGAUACAUACAGUCAGAAAUUAACCGUUCUCUACUUUCGGAUAAUAUCAAAUUCGACCUAUCUCAAAACAUAUACUUGGGGUACGGUCGCAUCUCCACCUUGGAAUAUACAACCAAAGUAAAUAUAAUUGGACUCUAAGACAUAUACUUAGAGUCAAUUAGACUCUAAUACAUAGAGUUUAAGAUUGACUAGGUCUUAACACACAUACUUAGGACCUAGUUAAUCUCAAAUCCAAUUGAAUCCUAAUACAUAUACUUAUGAUUCAAUAAACCAAAAUAUGAUUCAUUCAAUCCCAUCUAUAAAGGUCUCUUAAUCGAAGGUACCCCAAUGCCACAGGGGGUAAUUAUCAAUAGAUGCUUGCAUCUAUUGGAAGCCAUGAACCUGCAAUAUCUGAUACCCAUAUACAUAUACGUACUAAUCUGAAUCAUGAAUACUACCCUACGGCAAAACCCAUCGACAAUGCGAGGUGCGUCAUUCGCGGUGGCAGACAAGCGCUCCCCCUACUGUAGUUUCUUUAAAUCCUCUUCGAGUUUCUGUUUCACGCUGUUUGGGAAAUACACCCCAUACAGCAUUCCGCAGAACUUAUCCUACUUCAUCUGCAACGCCACCAACCGUCGAGUACCCCUCAUCCUCCUCCACCAAGCAUGCGUAUUACCAGCCAAACAAUGCACUCCCAGAUAUACCUGCUCCCGCUCUGGUAUAAAUAAGUCCUCGAAUAACUUCUCCAUCGCGCUCACCCAGCCCUCUACAACCCA